rnacentral:rRNA from 1 species
UGCGAACUCCUACGUGAGGCAGCAGUAGGGAAUCUUCGGCAAUGGACGGAAGUCUGACCGAGCAACGCCGCGUGAGUGAAGAAGGUUUUCGGAUCGUAAAGCUCUGUUGUAGGAGAAGAACGAGUGUGAGAGUGGAAAGUUCACACUGUGACGGUAUCUUACCAGAAAGGGACGGCUAACUACGUGCCAGCAGCCGCGGUAAUACGUAGGUCCCGAGCGUUGUCCGGAUUUGUUGGGCGUAAAGCGAGCGCAGGCGGUUAGAUAAGUCUGAAGUUAAAGGAUGUGGCUUAACCAUAGUACGCUUUGGAAACUGUUGAACGUGAGGGAAAGAGGGGAGAGUGGAAUUCCAUGUGUAGCGGUGAAAUGCGUAGAUAUAUGGAGGAACACCGGUGGCGAAAGCGGCUCUCUGGCUUGUAACUGACGCUGAGGCUCGAAAGCGUGGGGAGCAAACAGGAUUAGAAACCCUGGUAGUCCUAUC